CACGCCCUUUCCUGCUCGGCCCCUUCCCUCCUCCCACCCUCCGAGCGCCACCGUCCGCGCAGCGGCGCUCACCCUUAUCUACGCGGGGCCCCGGGGGCCUGGAAGCCGCCACCCGGCCCGCUGCUCCCCGUACCCGAGAGCCCGCGAGGGAAGUAGGGGCUGCGGGAAACCGACGAGUACGGGGUGUGAAGGAGAGCCGGGGGUCCUGGAGUAACCAGCAAGGGGAGGCGCCAAGCCGCUUCGGAACCUGCGAGUGCUUUCCACAAGCAGUCUCUGCCGCAACCUCCCCGGCACCCCCUGCGCACACGCACUCUCCUGCACGCACACACUCCGCGCGCGCGCGCACACUCUCACGGACACACGCGCGCGCCAGGCCACCCUCUGCCCCCAUGCUUGCUUCUCCCUGAAGCACAGGACAGCAUUUGGGUGAACUGUCCCAGCCCUUAAAACCAAAUCCCAGCUGAGCCGCAGCUACCCAAAGGUCAGCUCGUCGUAGAGCCUGUAGGAAAUGACACCAGUGGGCCUCAUCCUUCAAACUGCCAGAGAGGCUCCAGCAAUGGAAUCGUCAUUACUGACAAAACCGAAUGCCUUUUGAACACAAGGAACAGGGAGAGCUAGAGAGAUGUUCUGCCCUCAGGAGGCUUCCCCAAUCCAGAAAGGAAUCCACCAGGUCAAGCUCUUUGAAGCAGAACCUAAGAGCACACAGAGAGAAUGGCCAGUUAUCAUAACAUUUUAUGAUGAACCAAAGCCAUGGAGGCACGCACAGGCCAUUCCCAUGAAACCUCUCAGAAGACAUGGUGACGAUUCACAGAAAGCCAUGUGGCCGGUGCCUGACUGAAAAAACUUCCAGCUCUGAUACGGUUUGCAGAGAAGACUGGGAUUGAGUUCUGGCUUCUGAAAUCGGGUACCGAGGGUUGGGAAGCAAAGCGCUUAGCUUGGACUCUCCUCUCAGGGCUCCACCAGAGAGCGGUGGGUUCCUGAUUUCAAAUGACAAGAGACUGAGCAUGCCCAGGUAAGCCAGCUGUCCGGCGCUGUCACUGCGUGGGUAAACUGCUUCCAUAGGUGUGUGUACAGGAUUCCAGAGAGGCUACUGGAAGGAAAAGAGACACUAAAACAAUGAAAAGUCAGCACACUAGUAA